rnacentral:rRNA from 1 species
UACGUAGGGUGCAAGCGUUGUCCGGAAUUAUUGGGCGUAAAGAGCUCGUAGGCGGUUUGUCGCGUCGAAUGUGAAACCCGGGGCUCAACCCCGGGCCUGCAUUCGAUACGGGCAGACUAGAGUUCGGUAGGGGAGUCUGGAAUUCCUGGUGUAGCGGUGAAAUGCGCAGGAUAUCAGGAGGAACACCGGUGGACGAAGGCGGGACUCUGGGCCAAUUACUGACGCUGAGGAGCGAAAGCGUGGGGAGCGAACGGG